UACGUAGGGUGCGAGCGUUAAUCGGAAUUACUGGGCGUAAAGCGUGCGCAGGCGGUUCGUUGUGUCGGCGGUGAAAGCCCCGGGCUCAACCUGGGAAUGGCCGUUGAGACUGGCGAACUGGAGUGUGGCAGAGGGGGGUGGAAUUCCGCGUGUAGCAGUGAAAUGCGUAGAGAUGCGGAGGAACACCGAUGGCGAAGGCAGCCCCCUGGGCUAACACUGACGCUCAGGCACGAAAGCGUGGGGAGCAAACAGG
rnacentral:rRNA from 1 species